CCUACGGUGGGCAGCAGUGAGGAAUAUUGGUCAAUGGGAGGAAUCCUGAACCAGCCAUGCCGCGUGCAGGACGACGGCUCUACGAGUUGUAAACUGCUUUUGUACCGGGGUAAAAUGCUCUACGAGUAGGGUUUUGAAAGUACGGUACGAAUAAGGAUCGGCUAACUACGUACCAGCAGCCGCGGUAAUACGGAGGAUCCGAGCGUUAUCCGGAUUCAUUGGGUUUAAAGGGUGCGUAGGUUGUUUUAUAAGUUAGCGGUGAAAUACAGAUGCGCAACAGCGGGGCUGCCGCUGAAACUGUGAGACUAGAGAACGGAUGAGGCAGGCGGAAUGUGUAGUGUAGCGGUGAAAUGCAUAGAUAUUACAAAGAACACCGAUUGCGAAGGCAGCUUGCUAGGCCGGAUCUGACACUGAUGCACGAAAGCGUGGGGAUCGAACAGGAUUAGAUACCCGAGUAGUC
rnacentral:rRNA from 1 species